rnacentral:rRNA from 1 species
GUUGAACGCUGGCGGCAGGCCUAACACAUGCAAGUCGAGCGGUAACAGGAAGUAGCUUGCUACUUUGCUGACGAGCGGCGGACGGGUGAGUAAUGUCUGGGAAACUGCCUGAUGGAGGGGGAUAACUACUGGAAACGGUAGCUAAUACCGCAUAACGUCGCAAGACCAAAGUGGGGGACCUUCGGGCCUCAUGCCAUCGGAUGUGCCCAGAUGGGAUUAGCUAGUAGGUGGGGUAAUGGCUCACCUAGGCGACGAUCCCUAGCUGGUCUGAGAGGAGGAUCAGCCACACUGGAACUGAGACACGGUCCAGACUCCUACGGGAGGCAGCAGUGGGGAAUAUUGCACAAUGGGCGCAAGCCUGAUGCAGCCAUGCCGCGUGUAUGAAGAAGGCCUUAGGGUUGUAAAGUACUUUCAGCGGGGAGGGAGGUGUUGAGGUUAAUAACCUCAGCAAUUGACGUUACCCGCAGAAGAAGCACCGGCUAACUCCGUGCCAGCCGCCGCAGUAA